UGUGAAAAAACAAAAGGGAUAAUAAAAGGAACAGAGAUCACUUUGUUUUGCCCUCCCUUACCCAUACCCAAAAAUCCAGUUCGGCUUUUUCCUGCUUCUCAGAUCUAUGUGCUCCUUUCGUUUUGUCUGAAUGGGGAUUUCGAUGAUUCAUCCAUCUGAUGGGGAUCUCGUUUUCUCCUUUCGAAUGGGGCAGCCUCAGUGCCAAAGCUGUGACGACGUAGACAACUUGGGGCCUAAUAAUCGUCGAGAGGUUAAGGCGAAGGCAGGGAAGGAUAGUAGCGGCCAUGAAGGAAAAGGAGGGUCACCGAUGACGCUGCAGUCCAUAGAAGGUGAGGAGGUCGGAGAUUUGGAACCCUACAGUGGUUUGUUCGAUGACGUGCAGACAAAAUUCUAGAAAUUAAGGAGCACCUCGAAGAUCCUAACCAGGCUUUUUUCCUUUCUUUCUAAUAAUUGUUUCGUUUAUAUUUCAGUUUUAUCUUUCUGAUUUUGAUUUUGUCUUUGGUUUGGAUUCGCUUCCAUGAGUUGCAGAAUUCUAACCUGGAACUCAAAAGCCCCAACAUUGCAAGCCCUAACCAUAGAGAUUUGGAGCUCCAAUGUCAGAUCUGUGCUCUGAUUGGCGAAAAACGUUGACUAAUUCCAUUGGGCCAUAGAAAUUCAUCAUGGUUGCUACUGUCGCUACAUCUACAUUCUUUAUCCCCUGCUCCAGACUUUGUACAAAGACGGCUGCCAAGCUUUCGAAUUUAGGAGGGAUGAUGUCAAAAUCUCCUAGGUUUUCAAGUGGCUUGCAGGUCAAGACAAAUGCCCAGGCCCCUCCCAAAAUAAAUGGUACCUCGGUUGUGUUGGCAAAACCAGUAGAAGGUGUUAGUGUGACACAUUGUCACCUGCCCCUAGGACUUUCAUUAACACGUUACCUGAUUGGAGCAUGCUUCUUGUCGCCAUCACCAUAAUCUUCUUGGCUACUGAGAAGCAGUGGAUGAUGCCUGAUUGGAAACAUAGGCGGCCUGACAUGUUCAUUGACCCUUUUGGUCUUGGGAGAAUUGUUCAGGAUGGUUUGGUGUUCUGGCAGAAUUUUUCUAUUAGAUCAUAUGAAAUAGGUGUCGAUCGUUCAGCUUCUAUAGAGACAUUGAUGAAUCAUUUGCAGGAAACUGCCCUUAAUCAUGUUAAGAGUGCUAGACUUCUCGGUGAUGGCUUUGGUUCAAUGCUAGAGAUGUGCAAAAAGAACAUGAUAUGGGUGGUUACAUGAAUGCAAGUGG